UUCAGGCCUAACACAUGCAAGUCGAACGGCAGCGCGGGGAGCUUGCUCCCUGGCGGCGAGUGGCGGACGGGUGAGUAACGCGUGGGAAUCUGCCCAGUAGUGGGGGACAACCCGAGGAAACUCGGGCUAAUACCGCAUACGCUCUACGGAGGAAAGCGGGGGAUCUUCGGACCUCGCGCUAUUGGAUGAGCCCGCGUCGGAUUAGCUUGUUGGUGAGGUAAAAGCUCACCAAGGCGACGAUCCGUAACUGGUCUGAGAGGACGAUCAGUCACACCGGAACUGAGACACGGUCCGGACUCCUACGGGAGGCAGCAGUGGGGAAUAUUGGACAAUGGGCGAAAGCCUGAUCCAGCAAUGCCGCGUGUGUGAAGAAGGCCUGCGGGUUGUAAAGCACUUUCAGCGGGGAAGAAAAGCGCGGGGCUAAUAUCUCCGUGUCUUGACGUUACCCGAAGAAGAAGCACCGGCUAACUCCGUGCCAGCAGCCGCGGUAAUACGGAGGGUGCGAGCGUUAAUCGGAAUUACUGGGCGUAAAGCGCGCGUAGGCGGCUUGGUCAGUCGGAUGUGAAAGCCCCGGGCUUAACCUGGGAAUUGCAUUCGAUACUGCCGAACUCGAGUAUGGGAGAGGAAAGUGGAAUUUCCGGUGUAGCGGUGAAAUGCGUAGAUAUCGGAAGGAACACCAGUGGCGAAGGCGACUUUCUGGCCCAAUACUGACGCUGAGGUGCGAAAGCGUGGGGAGCAAACAGGAUUAGAUACCCUGGUAGUCCACGCCGUAAACGAUGAGAACUAGAUGUCGGGAGGGUUUGGCCUUUCGGUGUCGGAGCUAACGCGUUAAGUUCUCCGCCUGGGGAGUACGCCGGCAACGGUAAAACUCAAAGGAAUUGACGGGGACCCGCACAAGCGGUGGAGCAUGUGGU
rnacentral:rRNA from 1 species